UACGAAGGGGGCUAGCGUUGCUCGGAAUCACUGGGCGUAAAGGGCGCGUAGGCGGACUCUUAAGUCGGGGGUGAAAGCCCAGGGCUCAACCCUGGAAUUGCCUUCGAUACUGAGAGUCUUGAGUUCGGAAGAGGUUGGUGGAACUGCGAGUGUAGAGGUGAAAUUCGUAGAUAUUCGCAAGAACCCCAGUGGCGAAGGCGGCCAACUGGUCCGAUACUGACGCUGAGGCGCGAAAGCGUGGGGAGCAAACAGG
rnacentral:rRNA from 1 species